rnacentral:rRNA from 2 species
CCUAUACAUGCAGUCGAGCGAACUGAUUAGAAGCUUGCUUCUAUGACGUUAGCGGCGGACGGGUGAGUAACACGUGGGCAACCUGCCUGUAAGACUGGGAUAACUUCGGGAAACCGAAGCUAAUACCGGAUAGGAUCUUCUCCUUCAUGGGAGAUGAUUGAAAGAUGGUUUCGGCUAUCACUUACAGAUGGGCCCGCGGUGCAUUAGCUAGUUGGUGAGGUAACGGCUCACCAAGGCAACGAUGCAUAGCCGACCUGAGAGGGUGAUCGGCCACACUGGGACUGAGACACGGCCCAGACUCCUACGGGAGGCAGCAGUAGGGAAUCUUCCGCAAUGGACGAAAGUCUGACGGAGCAACGCCGCGUGAGUGAUGAAGGCUUUCGGGUCGUAAAACUCUGUUGUUAGGGAAGAACAAGUACGAGAGUAACUGCUCGUACCUUGACGGUACCUAACCAGAAAGCCACGGCUAACUACGUGCCAGCAGCCGCGGUAAUACGUAGGUGGCAAGCGUUAUCCGGAAUUAUUGGGCGUAAAGCGCGCGCAGGCGGUUUCUUAAGUCUGAUGUGAAAGCCCACGGCUCAACCGUGGAGGGUCAUUGGAAACUGGGGAACUUGAGUGCAUAAGAGAAAAUUGGAAUUUCACGUGUAGCGGUGAAGUUU